GCACCGGCUAACUCCGUGCCAGCAGCCGCGGUAAUACGGAGGGUGCGAGCGUUAAUCGGAAUUACUGGGCGUAAAGCGCAUGCAGGUGGUUUGUUAAGUCAGAUGUGAAAGCCCGGGGCUCAACCUCGGAAUAGCAUUUGAAACUGGCAGACUAGAGUACUGUAGAGGGGGGUAGGAAUUUCAGGUGUAGCGGUGAAAUGCGUAGAGAUCUGAAGGAAUACCGGUGGCGAAGGCGGCCCCCUCGGACAGAUACUGACACUCAGAUGCGAAAGCGUGGGGAGCAAACAGGAUUAGAGGUACCCUGGUAG
rnacentral:rRNA from 1 species